rnacentral:rRNA from 1 species
AACGUAGGACACAAGCGUUAUCCGGAGUUACUGGGCGUAAAGGGCGUGCAGGCGGUUUCUUAAGUCAGGCGUGAAACCAUUCGGCUAAACCGGGUGUAGUCGUCUGAGACUGGGAAACUUGAGUGUGGUAGAGGCGUGUAGAAUUCCGGGAGUAGUGGUGAAAUGCGUAGAUAUCCGGAGGAAUACCAGUGGCGAAGGCGGCACGCUGGGCCAUAACUGACGCUAAGACGCGAAAGCAUGGGUAGCGAACGGG